rnacentral:rRNA from 1 species
AAUCAACGCUGGCGGCGUGCCUAACACAUGCAAGUCGAACGGGAAAGGUCCUUCGGGACUGAGUAGAGUGGCGAACGGGUGAGUAACGCGUGGAUAACCUGCCCUCAAGAGGGGGAUAACUCCGCGAAAGCGGGGCUAAUACCGCAUGAGCCCGCAAGGGGAAAGAUGCAAAUCGCUUGAGGAGGGGUCCGCGUCCGAUUAGCUAGUUGGUGGGGUAAGAGCUUACCAAGGCGACGAUCGGUAGCCGGUCUGAGAGGACGGACGGCCACACUGGGACUGAGACACGGCCCAGACUCCUACGGGAGGCAGCAGUGGGGAAUUUUGGGCAAUGGGCGAAAGCCUGACCCAGCAACGCCGCGUGGAGGACGAA